CACCGCUCCGCCUCCUCUUUUCGCAACAUUGACGCAAUGUAUAAAUGCUGGAACAAAAGGACAACUUCCUUGAAGCUUGGCGUAAUUGCAAUAAUAGAGAGCUUCAGUGACAUUCUGAUGGGUCCGGCAUUCUACCGGAAUAUAUUUCCCACAGCUUCUCUGGCUCGACGUAGGCUACGCGUAAAAUGGAUUUGCACUUUCCCAGGUUAUUCCAAGCCUGAACAACCAAACGAUGGCUGUGCUGUUGGUGGUAGUGCCGAUCCGAUACUUUGCGAACAAAGGACUGGGGGAGAAUUUCGUGAGGUGGAGGACGACAGUAAAAGAACGGCUUGACUGUUUACAAUAAUAACAGGAUAGCCGUGACGUCGAGUGAUCGACAGCGCUCUCAGCCAGAGGAGAAACUUCUGAGGCAUCAACAACAUUCUAAAUUUGGACAGAGGUUACAUCAUCGAAGUUAACGCUGCUGAGGGGCGGGACUUCCGGUUAGAUUUGAGUUCGUACCGCUGAAGCGGCUGCUCUUUCUGUUGUGUCUUUGUAGCCUAUCCAUCUGUCUCUGCACAGUCGCCUCCCCUUCACUGUCAAAAGCAGAGCAUUGGUUAACAUUCUGACCGGUUGCUCUGCUGGAUGUAUUAAGAUGUUUCUAGAUGCUCGUAAAUUGUUAGUAAUAAUGACGUUGAUGUAGCUAUCGUGUGGUCCAAACUCACCGCAUUCAAAUAAUACAAAUGCCGCAACCCCAAGCUAACUUAAAAAUAAGUAAUGAAGUCAUAUAUUAUGACUUCAGCUAUUCAGAGAGCCUGUUUGCAAUGAUCAGUUCAUUAUAUCUCUAAAAACUUGUAAUUUUGUGCUGGUGCUCUUCAUAAAAUGCCAUAAUUAUAGUUAGUGGUAGGCUAUGUCAUAUGUUUAGACAGGGUUGAUUAAAUAUCAUGUAAUGGCUUUCUACAAAGUCAAGACAGUUAGCUAUCACAUAAAACUACUACAUAUAAUCACUGAAUGAAUAUCAGUCUCAUGCCAUACAACAUACUAAGUAUAUGAUGUUAAAUUUACUGAAAUUAUAUUGCCAGUGCACUCCAUUGCAUAUAAACAGCAUCUUUUGUGAUAGGUACAACAUUUUACAGGCUAUAAUGCCAGAAACAAAAAUUCAGAUAAAGUGUGUUUGUGCAGUUUCUAGGAGGUGAUGUCAAAUAUUUUAGGAAUAAACCUGAACUAUUUUGUGUUCAUACUCUCAGCAUUCAAAAUAUUCCAAGGCAUUUAAUUAGAGAGGGUUUUUAUAUUGUAAAGCCAUGUGGAAAGAGACCAUUCACUUUAGCAAGAUCUCUCCUGCUUUGGGUCACUAAUAAAUGAAGUUAAACCAAACAAACCAGCAUGAGCCCUUGGUUGUGUCUUGUUAGGCCGGCCCACUUAACAGGGGUCAAAGGUUGCUGUUUUAUUCUCAGACUUGACUUGCAGGCAUCUAUUGGCUUUUGAUGGAUGUUGUUACUUAAGUGUGUAGGCUCUGGCCUCUGUUAAAGUGGGGGCUGUCCCCUCACAUGCUCCCACCCCCUCCCUCAUACUAAAGAGAUCAUGGGUACAGCUGCCUCAGACAGCUUUGGGGUGGGUUGGGGGUCCGAGACCCUUCAUUGAGAGAACAAAACCCUUUUAUAAACACACACACUCAAGUUCACCCUUUACAACUGCCCCUAUUUUCACACCCCUACAAAAAAAAAAAAAAAAGGUCUGAAGGGCACUGGGUGCACAGCACACGUAUUUGUCCUUACUAGUGCACAGCUAAUUACUAAUAUGUUAGGAUCAUAAAUUUCAAAAACAGAAAAGCAUAUUACAUUUUUUUUUUAGGUUAAAGUUUAUAGUCAUGAAUAAGUUAUACAACAGGUCAAGGAUUUAAAGUAAAAAACUGUAGCAGAUACUGCGUACAACAAAACACAACUUUUCUACUUUCAUAUAUCCAACAAUUGUAGUCUGCUAUAACCUAUUUUGCUGACUCAGCAAAUUUUCAUCUUAUUUUUUUUUCUUUUACACUGAUAACUCGUAACAUUAAUUUCCAUGAAACUGCAAAAUAAAACCACACAUCUAAUUAAUGGCAAAACACACCAACAGAAAAAUCUAAGAAUGUGUAAAUCAGAUUAACAUCCUGUAUCUUUUCACCGAAUGUAUCGGAAUAAUUUGAAGGCCUGCAGUGUGUGUCUAUUUCAAAAGUUGUUUGAUGUUAAAUGUGAAGGAAGAGGGUUUAAUUUGAUUCAGAGAUUCAAGCUGUGAAUGGAGAGUGUGUUAAACUUCAGUAGGAACCUUGUUGCUACACUUGCAUUAUGAGAUGAUACAGGAGUCAUGGAGUCAGAAAUUAGUCAGUAAUGUAGAUAAAAUGUGCUGUGAGACAGGGCCUUAAAUAUAGGCCUUUAUUUGUUGUAUUGUUUGCCAGUGAACUUAGCUCUUUAUGUGUAUACAAAGGUCUUUGAAAGUGUGCAUUUGGUUAUUAUUCAUAUAUGCUUCCAAAAGCGUCAUGCUUCAUGUAUUUGACUGCAAUUCAUGCUGUAUUAGCUUAACAUCUUUUAGCUGAUUACACAGCCCUGUAAUAUUCAUAUGUAAUCGAACAAUAACAAAGCUGGGAUCCAUGAUAAGGUUGAUUCUGACAUACACAAAUAUAAACUGUGGAUUAUUAGUAUCUAUUGGCUGCAAGGUGCCAUAGGUGUAAUGUAGAUUCGGUCAGAUUAUUACAGCCUUUAUACUUCUGCAUAUGAAUGUUAGUAGGUUAAUUAAUCACCCAAACUACAAAAAAUGGGUUAAAUCUUGUGCUGGUAUCUACUACAGAGUAUCUGUGUUUGGAUAAGUGGGCAGUAUUAAGAUUUGGGCUUUCAAGUGUGUCACAAAGCAGUUGCUGAAGAAAAACCAGGUCAUAUCACCCUCUCUUUCUGAACAGAAUGGAUAUUUUACAGCACCACUGAGGCUGAGCUAUCAGUUUGCAUAGGGCCUAUAUAGAAGGACACCUUACAUAAGUUUCUCUAUAGGGAGCUGGAAGGGAAGUAGUCGAUGAAAUAGCUUAAAUGACAAGCAUUAGAUAGCCAAGGGCUACUUUUUAUUUUAAUAGGCUCCUUAUCUCUCCCGAUUUGGGUGCCUCCCCUCAAUUGGCAGAGACACACGGGAUUGUUCUCCUUUAAACACAUGCACGUCUCUCAACGCGCAGUUUAAGAGAAUAUUGUAAGAUUGUUUCGUAAUUUAAGGGUGAUGAAGAAAUGUUUCUUUCAGUAAAAUCUUUCUAAUCUCCCACCUUCAAAACCGCUCUCCAAGUCCAUGUUCCCGGCAUGCACACGCGAGCUGGGGGCGGCUCUUACAGAUUUGAAUGAGGAGAGUCACUUUCGGCGCCAUUUUCGAGUGAGCGGCGAUAACAUCAACACCGAGAGCGCGCGCAUAGAGGGUCAGCGCGCGCGACACAUCGUCUUAAACAUUAGACUUGUUAUCUGAAUGUGGGGAAAACUGCACGGUCGGAGCACGUCUAGAGAGCUAAACCGCCUGCGAUCUGGUGUCGACGAGCACAGAAGUGACCAAUACGAUCCGACCGUGGAGCCGAAGGAGAAAAGGGGGCUAUCGCUCAGCUAGCUGCGUAAUAUGGAAAACAUGCGAUUUAAAAAAAAAUAAUUCGUAAAAAUAACACUCGACCCAGCCAAAAAUAUAGAAAAAUUCUGAAAAAUACCAGAGGGUCUUAGGAUUGGGAUUCAGCGCGGUGGUGAUGAAGGUUUUGUCAUUUUGGUGCUUUUUGACGUCGCUUUUUGAGCGGGAGUAACGGACGAGCCGCUGCGCAGAUACACGCAGUUCAGUCCGAAUCUGUGAUGAAUCACACACUGAACUCAGAUCAGAGAGGACACACAUCAAGCAUUUUACCCGGAAAGGAAUGUAGAACACACGGCAUGACACUGAGCUGUGACACAGUCAAAGAACUGGAAGUACACCACUAAGUGUAACCAUGUGUAAGUGAACCAUUUUAACUAUAUAGCUUAUAAGAAG